rnacentral:rRNA from 1 species
AGUGAACGCUGGCGGUAGGCCUAACACAUGCAAGUCGAACGGCAGCACAGUAAGAGCUUGCUCUUACGGGUGGCGAGUGGCGGACGGGUGAGGAAUACAUCGGAAUCUACUUUUUCGUGGGGGAUAACGUAGGGAAACUUACGCUAAUACCGCAUACGACCUACGGGUGAAAGCAGGGGAUCUUCGGACCUUGCGCGAUUGAAUGAGCCGAUGUCGGAUUAGCUAGUUGGCGGGGUAAAGGCCCACCAAGGCGACGAUCCGUAGCUGUCUGAGAGGAUGAUCAGCCACACUGGAACUGAGACACGGUCCAGACUCCUACGGGAGGCAGCAGUGGGGAAUAUUGGACAAUGGGCGCAAGCCUGAUCCAGCCAUACCGCGUGGGUGAAGAAGGCCUUCGGGUUGUAAAGCCCUUUUGUCGGGAAAGAAAAGCAGCAGGUUAAUACCCCGCUGUUCUGACGGUACCCAAAGAAUAAGCACCGGCUAACUUCGUG